rnacentral:snoRNA from 1 species
UACACAAAGCAUGUGAUGAGCAAGCACUGAAACUGACUCCCUGUGAAGUCCAGUCAAUCCAAUGCUGAGCUUUGUGUC